rnacentral:rRNA from 1 species
UCUGGCUGUCCGAGUUGUAACCUAGAGAAGUGUUGCCCGUGCUAGACCAUGUAUAAGUCUCCUGGAACGGAGCGUCUCAGAGGGUGAGAAUCCCGUGCUUGACAUGGACUGCUAGUACAUUGUGGUACGCUCUCAAAGAGUUGAGUUGUUUGGGAAUGCAGCUCUAAAUGGGUGGUAAAUUCCAUCUAAAGCUAAAUAUUGGCGAGAGACCGAUAGCGAACAAGUACCGUGAGGGAAAGAUGAAAAGAACUUUGGAAAGAGAGUUAAACAGUACGUGAAAUUGUUGAAAGGGAAACGCUUGAAGUCAGUCGCGUCGGUCAGGGAUCAGCCCGGCUAAUUUGCUAGGUGUAUUUUCUGGUUUGACGGGUCAACAUGAGUUUUGACCGCUGGAGAAAGGCAGAGGGAAUGUGGCACCUCUUAAGGUGUGUUAUAGCCCUCAGUCAUAUGCAGCGGUUGGGACUGAGGAAAAAGGCAGCGCGCCCAGAUGGGCCGGGUUUCGACCACGUUCGCGCUUAGGAUGUUGACAUAAUGGCUUUAAGCGACCCGUCUUGAAACACGGACCAAGGAGUCUAACAUGCCUGCGAGUGUUUGGGUGGAAAACCCUUGCGCGCAAUGAAAGUGAAAGUUGAGAUCCCUGUUGUGGGGAGCAUCGACGCCCGGACCAGAACUUUUGGGACGGAUCUGCGGUUGAGCAAGCAUGUUGGGACCCGAAAGAUGGUGAACUAUGCCUGAAUAGGGCGAAGCCAGAGGAAACUCU